rnacentral:lncRNA from 1 species
CAUGUUGAAAGAAUUGUUUUUUAUUUUCUAUACUUUAUUUUUUUAAGUUAUUAAGCAUGGGUUGAGGAGCUUCUUGGUGUAUGUUUAAUUUUUAUAGGCUGUAUUGCUUAUCUACUUAUAAGAAAAAAAAUCUUCACCAUGUUCACAGAUAACUAUGUUUAACAGUUUAGUUCAUCAGAUACAUUAAAUCUUCACCAUGUUCACAGAUAAGUAUGUUUAACUGUUUAGUUCAUCAGAUACAUUAAAUUUGUCAAGUAUGAAGUUUCCAUCAGGCAAAUAAAAAUUGAAAACAAUUCCAGCAAGAAUAAAAUGAGAAGAUGUCAUUAUAUGAUAGAUUUUUCUGGAAUCUGUAGUAAUUAAUAACAUGCCAAUGAAAUACUUAAAAAACUAAAGAUUUCAUCAUAUAACAUUUUCUAGAAUUUAAUCAUGGCAUUUUUUUGGGGCAGAAAUUUCUUUACAUACUUUUUCUUUCGAUGUAAAGGAUCUUUGUUAAGCAAACAAACUUGAUUCAACAGUAAAGCAAGAUAACUUUCAUUUCCUAGAUUCAAAUAAAACAUUUGUAAAAACAUGCAACUUUGAAUAAAAAGAAUGUUCAGCAAGACAAUUAAAAUAAGCAAAAGAAGAUAUUAACAAUGAUUUUUGUCAGAUUUCCUUCCUUAACCAUCCAAAUGGAAUUAAUAGUAAAACUAUAGGACCAAUGUAGUUACACAUAUUCUAUUAUUAAAUGAAAUGAAAACACAUAAUGGUAAAAACAAAACAAUAGAGCAUUAUGAUCAUGAUGAUGUGUGAAAUGAAGAGAAAGCAUGGUAAUGAAAAGAUUUAUAUUUAAUUUAGUUUUAAGAAAAGAGGAGAUAAAUUAAUUUCACUUUAAUAUGCAUAAAUCUGAUAUUCACUCAGGGAAAAAUAGUAUGUAAAAAAAAAAUGUAAAGGCUAUUUAUAAGUUUUUUAAAUUACAUUUUUUAAACCAUUUAAA